UCGAGGAGGCACAUGGUGGUGCAAGAAUUCGCCGAACCAAUUCCCGGGUCGACGUCAUCUCUACAGCAGCAGCCGAGUUUGGAGUUCAGCCAACAAGCGUCUGAUUAUUCGUCGUCAGCACUAGAAUAUGUGCCAACUGCAAGCGGUCUGUUGCCACCGAGUCCAGCGCCAGUGUCCACCGCCACACUCCUGCACCCCGCCGAAUCAGAGAGUCGCUCUCGUUCGCCUGCUCCGUCGCACUCCAAAAAGCGCCGGCUCCUUCAAGUGUGGUUUCCUCAAACCGUCGCGCUCCAAACCACCCUCGAUACAUGUCCCUCCGUUGGGGCAGCGUUCGCCGACGUGAACAGAGACCCCAUUGCCACAUCUGACACCGGGCCCCGUACUAGCGCCAUCUCUACCACUGGGACACGACACACCGUCUGGCCACCUUCCUGAAAGCACUCCACUUGUGUCUUUGCCACUCAAAAAAUGCUAACUCCAGAGAUCUGCAGCUGCCACCCAGACUCCGGUCGCCGGCCUUCACACUAUCGCGCAGCGGCCCGUAUCCCCGGAAUCGCUUGCGACAGCGGGCACUACAGAUGCAACUCCCCCCGCUCCAAACACAACCAACCUCACAGGGAGACCAUCGACGUCGACCAGUAUGCCUGGUGUACACCCGUCUAUACAGGCUCGUUCUCCAGAUUCUGGAGGAUGGCCUGUGUCGUGCGCCGCAACAAGAACACCGUUGAUUUCCUGUUCCUUGGAUGUAAGCUGACCUGAUGGUUGACUGUGUCUGGGCUUCCACUCCACAAGAUAGCGCCUGCAUGUUCCUCGACUCUUUGUCUGCACAUCAUACGGUGUUCGCCCCUCG
rnacentral:lncRNA from 1 species